rnacentral:rRNA from 1 species
AUUGAACGCUGGCGGCAUGCCUUACACAUGCAAGUCGAACGGUAACGGGCCUUCGGGUGCCGACGAGUGGCGAACGGGUGAGUAAUACAUCGGAACGUGCCCGAUCGUGGGGGAUAACGAGGCGAAAGCUUUGCUAAUACCGCAUACGAUCUACGGAUGAAAGCAGGGGACCGCAAGGCCUUGCGCGGACGGAGCGGCCGACGGCAGAUUAGGUAGUUGGUGGGAUAAAAGCUUACCAAGCCGACGAUCUGUAGCUGGUCUGAGAGGAUGAUCAGCCACACUGGGACUGAGACACGGCCCAAACUCCUACGGGAGGCAGCAGUGGGGAAUUUUGGACAAUGGGCGCAAGCCUGAUCCAGCCAUGCCGCGUGCAGGAUGAAGGCCUUCGGGUUGUAAACUGCUUUUGUACGGAACGAAAAGCCUUCUUCUAACACAGGAGGGUCAUGACGGUACCGUAAGAAUAAGCACCGGCUAACUACGUGCCAGCCGCCGCAGUAA